rnacentral:rRNA from 1 species
UGGGGAAUUUUGGACAAUGGGGGAAACCCUGAUCCAGCAAUGCCGCGUGAGUGAAGAAGGCCUUCGGGUUGUAAAGCUCUUUUGUCAGGGAAGAAAUUGACCGGGCCAAUACCCUGGUUAGAUGACGGUACCUGAAGAAUAAGCACCGGCUAACUACGUGCC